rnacentral:rRNA from 1 species
GACGAACGCUGGCGGCGUGCCUAAUACAUGCAAGUUGAGCGAUGAAGCUUGGUGCUUGCACCAAUUUGAAGAGCAGCGAACGGGUGAGUAACGCGUGGGGAAUCUGCCUUUGAGCGGGGGACAACAUUUGGAAACGAAUGCUAAUACCGCAUAACAACUUUAAACAUAAGUUUUAAGUUUGAAAGAUGCAAUUGCAUCACUCAAAGAUGAUCCCGCGUUGUAUUAGCUAGUUGGUGAGGUAAAGGCUCACCAAGGCGAUGAUACAUAGCCGACCUGAGAGGGUGAUCGGCCACAUUGGGAAUGAGACACGGCCCAAAAUCCUACGGGAGGCAGCAGGAGGGAAUCUUCGGAAAUGGACGAAAGUCUGACCGAGCAACGCCGCGGGAGUGAAGAAGGUUUUCGGAUCGUAAAACUCGGUUGGUAGAGAAGAACGUUGGUGAGAGUGGAAAGCUCAUCAAGUGACGGUAACUACACAGAAAGGGACGGCUAACUACGUG